AUUUCCAGAACUCUAUACUGUGAAGGUCUGUACUUAGAAAUAUUUAACAUUUCCAUAUCAAUAUGACUUAGAAGCAACUAACAAUGUUGAAAGAUGUAUUGUUAUUAUCUUCAGCAAUUUAUGUCCCUACAUACCAUUAUGUAUAAGGCCAUUGCAAGCGUAGAAAUCCCUUGAAAAAUCAAGACAAAUCUAUUAAUAUCACAAUAUGAUUUGUAUAUAUGAAUCAUCUCAUAUCUUCUCUUGAAUUACCACUUCAAUAGCCUUUAAGAACCCAUAUUGAUACAUAAAAUACUAGAACUUUUUGAAAUGUGGGUGGUAACUGUUUAAAAGCUGUCCUCAGAGUCUUCCAUUAUACAGUCACAGAACAACUUCUGUUUACUUUCAUUCAGGUCACAACAGAAAGUUGCAGCAGCAUUCUAGAAUUACUGUAUUUAAAUAUAAGUAAUUGGAAAAAUAUGUAAACAUGCAAAUGCUUUAUACUUAUUUAUUUUCAGGAGAUCAUAAAUCAUGCUAGCUAAAUACAAUCUGCAAAUGCAAACAAGAUCAUCAUAUUAUUUUGUUUUACUUGUAUACUUAGACAUAGAGCAUAUAUAUACCUACUGCAAAUACUUUUAAGAAAAAUGAAAUUAUAAUGCUAGAAGAAUGAGGAAUGCAUAUUUUUGCCACGUUGCAGCAUUUUCUUUUGCUUUAUAAAUUAAUAAUUUGCUGAUAGCAUAUAAAUUUUAGACUUUGUGGAGCUUAAAAUGAUAUUGCAGUGUUUUUAAGUAAAAUUAAUAAACCAUCUUAUAAUAAUGUGGUACCACUGCAUGAAUUUUCUAUUGUGUGUGAAUGUUGUGUGAACAAGUUAGUUGUAGUGUCUCUGACUUUGCCUUUCAAUAAGGCAAGACUAAAAAUUAAUUUAGUUGCAUGGCUUAAGUCUGAAAAAGAUGUAAAUCUACAACUUAAUUGAACGUUAUUUCCUUACAUAAAGGUAAAGCUGAAUUCAAACACAGCUUCAAUUAUGAGUAAAUAGUUUAACUUUGUGAUAAAAUUAAACUUCUUAAUUAAACAAUUAACUUUAAGGAGGAAAGUAUAAAUUGAAGAAUAUGUCAAUUAAUUUUCUCAACAGUUUAUCUUAUUACAGAUUCUUUCAGAAUGGUGAUGCUCAUUAUUUAAAAGUGGCAAAUGAGAAUACAAUAAGGUUUUUGCAAGAGUACAUCUUUAGGCCAACAUAAUUCAGGGACUCUAGAGGUCAGGAGUUAGUCUAAUUUGGAAAACUAACAUGAGAAUGCAAGACAAAACCUUUGUUUCUUCCAUUAGGCCUCCUUCUUGUUUAGUUAUGUGCUUUUUUUUUUUUUUUUAAUUUAUUUGACAGGCAGAGUUAGACAGAGAGGGAGACAGAGAGACAGGUCCUCCUUCCGUUGGAUCACCGCCCAAAUGGCCACUACGGCCGGUGCGCUGUGCCGAUCUGAAGCCAGGAGCCAGGUGCUUCCUCCUGGUCUCCCAUUCGGGUGCAGGGCCCAAGCACUUGGGCCAUCCUCCACUGCCUACCCGGGCCACAGGAGGGAGCUGGACUGGAAGAGGAGCAACCGGGACUAGAACCGGCGCCCAUAUGAGAUGCCAGCGCCGCAGGCAGAGGAUUAACCAAGUGAGCCACGGCACCAGCCCCUUAGUUAUGUGCUCUUUUAUUUGAGAUUCUAACUCAAAAAUUACAAAUAGUUUUAUUACUUGAGAAAAAAUUUACUUUAAUAAUGUUUGAAUCACUUAAGAUAGACAUUUUGUUUGUAUGUGUUAAAUAUGUAGAGUUAAAUAACAUACAUACUGAUUUCAAAAAGUUUGUAGAAAAUGCAGUUUAAAAAGUAAUUUCCCGUGAAAUUUUUGAAGACCUCAUGUAUUUCUGAACACUAAACAUAUCCUCUUUACCUUUAUUCAAUAUUUCUUGCUCCAUGCUAGGCCUAUGUUUUUAAAUCAGAGUCGGUAUGUUUUCAAAGAAGGGGUAUAUAAGCCAUGCUUAGGCAUGUGUUUAAUUCUUGUAGCAUUUCUAUUUAAAUUUGUUUUUAUAAAAUUUUUAUUACAGAAUAGUUUUACAUUUACAAAAGAAAGCCUCUGAAGUGGUAUAAAGAUUUUCCAUGUAACCCAUGCCCAGCUCCCACUUUUGUUAGCAUGGUAUUAGUAUGAUAUAUCUGUCACAAUUUAUUAAGCAUAUCCAGCUUUUCCAUUGUCAACAUUUCAUGCUGCUAUAUUUACCACAAUAAAUGAAGUACACCCAGUUUCCCCUAUUUUUUUAAAUCAAACUUCCUCUUUCCGGCCAGCGCUACGGCUCACUAGGCUAAUCCUCCACCUGCAGCACUGGCACACUGGGUUCUAGUCCCGGUUGGGGCGCCGGAUUCUGUCCCGGUUGCCCCUCUUCCAGUCCAGCUCUCUGCUGUGGCCCGGGAGUGCAGUGGAGGAUGGCCCAAGUGCUUGGGCCCUGCACCCCAUGGGAGACCAGGAGAAGCACCUGGCUCCUGGCUUCGGAUCAGCAUCGUACGCUGGCCACAGUGAGCUGGCCGCAGCGGCCAUUGGAGGGUGAACCAACGGUAAAGGAAGACCUUUCUCUCUGUCUCUCUCUCUCACUGACCACUCUGCCUGUCAAAAAAAAAUAAAUAAAUAAAAAGAAAAAAAAACUUCCUCUUUCCCUCACAAAGCUGUUACUUUAUUCUUUACUGUGUUCCAUUCUUUUGCUGGCCACAUAAGGAUGGUGAACUUUUGAAAUUAGCAAUUAGUAUACUUAUUGAAUAUUUCUCAGUAUAAAAUUUUGCUUCUCUAAAUCAAACAAACUAAAAGAACUUCUUGAUACUAUCUUGAAUAUAUUUCAGUGGGUCAAAUUAAAAGUUAAUGAUUUUACCAUAUUAAUGAACAUAAUUACUUAUUAAAAGUUGAUUGACAUAUGGGCAGUUUUCCAAUUACAUUAAUAAAGUUCAGGGAAUACAUUAAUAGACUUGUCCAUCAAUUCAAAAACUAAAUAAAUGUCAUAAAAAGUCAGCCCCACUUAAGCUACAUUUUCUCUCAAUGAACAGAAUAAACUUUCAAUCUUUAAUUGUAUAUCUGGAUAGUCUUGAAGCAUAUGCUCAUUGCUUAACAAUUUGUCAAUCCUUUAUUAACCAAGAUAAAGAAAUCUAGCAACUGAGGGAAGACUUUAUUAAUCACUGAUGUCAAACAGAGAUUGGCUGGUAGAAACAAAACCGAUUUUCAAUUGUUUCAACAUUCUGCAUAAGGUAGGUAUUGAAAUAAAAUUAUGUUAGAAAGAGAAUGAUAAAGAGGAUAUCUUGUCAACACAGACACUAUGCAUGUGGAACUCAUUUGUGCUGGUGAUUUUUUGAGCUAACCACAAAAAUCAAUGCAGUUAUAAGGGAGGAACACCAUUAGAGCAGGAGUUAGAAAACUUGAAUUCUAAUUCUGAAAGUGACCACCAAAAAUAAGUAAAUAACAACCCUGUCUGAACUCUAGUUUUCUCAUUUAAGGGAGGUUCAGAACCAGAUCUACAUUCAGAUCCAGAAGGUCUCUAAGGUCUAUUGCCAGUCAAAGUAGAAAGAAAAAAUGACUAAAAUAAAUAAAAUAUAAGUACAAUAAACAAAAAUAAAACAAAACAAAAAACCACUAUUAUUAUUUUCUUUCGAAUUACAUGUGAAAAAGGUAGUUAAUUUAAAAGUGAAAAAAUUUUCGUACUUUACUUUGAACACCAUGGAAACUAAUUUUUACACAUUACUCCUGGUAAUAUUUACUCCAAAGGUAUAUUUUCUUUCUUGUUGAAUUUUUUUCCUUUCACCAGCUGAGGUAAGCAAUUUAUGUAUUCAUGGAGUUUGAAGAAUGUGACAAGUUGGAGCUUGGUUUUUAGUUUCCUCCUGGCAUCUGACUUAUCUGGAAUAUUUGCAAUAAAUUGAGUAUAUGUAGUGAGCAGUGAGCAUUCAGUUGUUAGCUGUUUUGAGAAUAGCUUCAAGUAUAGAAAGCUACCUUGCCCAAGGUCAGUUCUUGCCUGGAAUAGUUGACGUGCAACGUAGAAUAAUUCUCAUGAGCCACUUUUUGCUCUGGAGUUUCAUUAUGGGACAGCUGAGGUUGUGGUCCAGAUUGCAUUACAGGUCAACUUUUUGCUCUGUUCAAUUCUAUCUCCUUUCUAUUUCUUCCCUAGGGAAUGAUUCAAAGAUAUUCUGUCAUUAAUAAUCUGGACUUUAAAUUUCAUCUUGUUUCAGAGUCUAAUUCCCAAAGAUCCCAAAGUGUGACAAUGUUAGACUCUUGUUUCAGGCUUAGUCAUUGUUUUGAGAAAGGCUUUGUAAAAUGGAAGGACAACACAUUCAAAAACCAUUUAUUAUUAACAUUAUGAAAGGGAUUUAAAACUUUAAAAAUAAGUAUUCAAGGCCGGCGCCGCGGCUCACUAGGCUAAUCCUCCGCCUAGCGGCGCCGGCACACCGGGUUCUAGUCCCGGUCGGGGCGCCGGAUUCUGUCCCGGUUGCCCCUCUUCCAGGCCAGCCCUCUGCUGUGGCCAGGGAGUGCAGUGGAGGAUGGCCCACGUGCUUGGGCCCUGCACCCCAUGGGAGACCAGGAGAAGUACCUGGCUCCUGCCUUCGGAUCAGUGCGGUGCACCAGCUGCAGCGCACCAGUCGUGGCGGCCAUUGGAGGGUGAACCAACGGCAAAGGAAGACCUUUCUCUCUGUCUCUCUCUCUCACUGUCCACUCUGCCUGUCAAAAAAAAAAAAAAAAAAAGUAUUCAAUACACCAAGAUAAGUAAGAUAAAUCGGAUGACAAAAAUAAAUAAUACAAGAUUAUAGUCAGAGGUGAGGUUAGAUCACAAAAUAUCUGUCACAGUCUCUAUAUACUUCAAUACCUUGAUUAAAAAACCAGAAAAACAAAGCAAAACAAAAAACCUUGAGUUCCAUUGUUUCUAACAACCAGUUCAUAGAGAGAAAAGCUUAUAAUUGGUUAUAUGCUUCAUGAUCCAUAAGGUUAAAAACUGCUUUUCUCAAUGCCCUGAUUUUGUUACCCAGAAUGGAGAAUCAUUACUACCAAAAGCCACCUUAGAGAAUCACUCUGAUGUAAAGAAAACUUCAACAGUAACUAUGUAGGACACAGAACUUAUUCAUAAGGUUUUCUCUUAUACCACCUCUAUCAAUAUUGUCUGAAUUGCAGAGAAGGAAAAAAAUUAAAUAUUGAAAAAAUUCAUCAUGAUACCAGUUUAGUUACAGAGAGAGAACUUUGAAUAUCACUAUAACUUACAAAUAAAUUUUGGAACCUAGCCUAUCUGAAGAAAACUUCCAUAAAUAUUAUUUCUCUCAAAGGAUCAUUCAAUAGGAAUUCAUGUGCAAAUACUUUAAAAUUACCCUUCCAAUGAGUAUCUGGAGAGCAAUUAGUCUAAGUGGCAUACUAUAAAUCCAUAUUUUUUAAAGACCAGAAUGUCUUAAUAUAAUGUUAAUGUUCUUUCUAUGACUGUUUAAGCCUUGACAAGGUGCACAUCUGAAGAGAAGGACAUCAUACUUCUGUUCCAGUUGGACCUUAUUGCUGAAAACAGCAUCACAGGACAUGGGUCUGCUUUCCUCAUAAAGACACAAAAGGGAAAAAGAUGUAAUGGCCAAAAAUCAAAAUACAAACAAACGAAAAAGCAUGCCACAAUGUCAUAUACAUUGGAAAAUUAAAAUGAUUGCUUUGCAACUGUGAGCAGUUCCAAAGUUUCAACAAGUAACAGUAACAAGUAACAAGUAAAUGUUCCAAGAGUCAUUUGUGAUCUGGAUGAUUUCCCUAAAUAUUCCUUUGCAGACAAAAUUAGUUCCAUUCAUCUGUGCUUAUAUAUGGAGAAUGUGAACACAGGCAUAUAUUACAAUAACGUAAUCCAAAAGGGCUCUA